AUUGAACGCUAGCGGGAUGCUUUACACAUACAAGUCGAACGGCAGCGCGGACUUCGGUCUGGCGGCGAGUGGCGAACGGGUGAGUAAUGUAUCGGAACGUGCCCAGUAGCGGGGGAUAACUACGCGAAGGCGUAGCUAAUACCGCAUACGCCCUACGGGGGAAAGCAGGGGAUCGUAGGACCUUGCACUAUUGGAGCGGCCGAUAUCGGAUUAGCUAGUUGGUGAGGUAACGGCUCACCAAGGCGACGAUCCGUAGCUGGUUUGAGAGGACGACCAGCCACACUGGGACUGAGACACGGCCCAGACUCCUACGGGAGGCAGCAGUGGGGAAUUUUGGACAAUGGGGGCAACCCUGAUCCAGCCAUCCCGCGUGUGCGAUGAAGGCCUUCGGGUUGUAAAGCACUUUUGGCAGGAAAGAAACGUCGCGGGCUAAUACCCCGUGGAACUGACGGUACCUGCAGAAUAAGCACCGGCUAACUACGUG
rnacentral:rRNA from 1 species